GCUUUUGAAAGAUUAUAGUUAUCUAUU
rnacentral:tRNA from 1 species